rnacentral:rRNA from 1 species
GUGAGGAAUUUUCCGCAAUGGGCGAAAGCCUGACGGAGCAAUGCCGCGUGAAGGAUGAAGGCCUAUGGGUUGUAAACUUCUUUUCUCAGAAAAGAAUUAUGACGGUAUCUGAGGAACAAGCAUCGGCUAACUCUGUGCCAGCAGCCGCGGUAAGACAGAGGAUGCAAGCGUUAUCCGGAAUGAUUGGGCGUAAAGCGUCUGUAGGUUGUUUAAAAAGUAUUCUGUCAAAGAUUAGGGCUUAACCCUAGAUAGGCAGAAUAAACUUUUAAGCUAGAGUUUGGUAGAGGCAGAGGGAAUUCCCGGUGGAGCGGUGAAAUGCGUAGAUAUCGGGAGGAACACCAAAGGCGAAGGCACUCUGCUGGGCCAAUACUAACACUGAGAGACGAAAGCGAGGGGAGCAAAUGGGAUUAGAAACCCUUGUAGUCC